rnacentral:rRNA from 1 species
GAUGAACGCUGGCGGCGUGCCUAAUACAUGCAAGUCGAGCGAACGGACGAGAAGCUUGCUUCUCUGAUGUUAGCGGCGGACGGGUGAGUAACACGUGGAUAACCUACCUAUAAGACUGGGAUAACUUCGGGAAACCGGAGCUAAUACCGGAUAAUAUUUUGAACCGCAUGGUUCAAAAGUGAAAGACGGUCUUGCUGUCACUUAUAGAUGGAUCCGCGCUGCAUUAGCUAGUUGGUAAGGUAACGGCUUACCAAGGCAACGAUGCAUAGCCGACCUGAGAGGGUGAUAGGCCACACUGGAACUGAGACACGGUCCAGACUCCUACGGGAGGCAGCAGUAGGGAAUCUUCCGCAAUGGGCGAAAGCCGGACGGAGCAAAGCCGCGUGAGUGAUGAAGGUCUUCGGAUCGUAAAACUCUGUUAUUAGGGAAGAACAUAUGUGUAAGUAACUGUGCACAUCUUGACGGUACCUAAUCAGAAAGCCACGGCUAACUACGUG